rnacentral:rRNA from 1 species
GACGAACGCUGGCGGCGUGCUUAACACAUGCAAGUCGAACGGAAAGGCCCUGCUUUUGUGGGGUGCUCGAGUGGCGAACGGGUGAGUAACACGUGAGUAACCUGCCCUUGACUUUGGGAUAACUUCAGGCAACUGGGGCUAAUACCGGAUAGGAGCUCCUGCUGCAUGGUGGGGGUUGGAAAGUUUCGGCGGUUGGGGAUGGACUCGCGGCUUAUCAGCUUGUUGGUGGGGUAGUGGCUUACCAAGGCUUUGACGGGUAGCCGGCCUGGGCGGGUGACCGGCCACAUUGGGACUGGGAUACGGCCCAGACUCCUACGGGAGGCAGCAGUGGGGAAUAUUGCACAAUGGGCGGAAGCCUGAUGCAGCAACGCCGCGUGCGGGAUGACGGCCUUCGGGUUGUAAACCGCUUUCGCCUGUGACGAAGCGUGAGUGACGGUAAUGGGUAAAGAAGCACCGGCUAACUACGUG